rnacentral:rRNA from 1 species
GCUUACGGCCAUACCACCCUGAACACGCCCGAUCUCGUCCGAUCUCGAAGCUAAGCAGGUGGGCCUGUUAGUACUUGGAUGGGAGACCGCCUGGGAAUACCAGGUGCUGUAAGCU